UUUACGAGCCUGGAUUUCCCAGGAGCAGCAGCCGCUGCGAGCGAAAAGCCUUAAAAAGAAAAGGUUUUUUCGUUCUUGCUGCCUGCAAGCAAAGAAAGAAGAGAAGUUUUACGAUAGACAGUACGAAAGAUGAGCUUACAAACUAAAUUUUGUUUGGUGCUUUCAAGAGAAAGCAUCCAGCAGUUUGAUCUCCAAAGAUGCAGGAAGCUGCAGUUUGCUUUGGAGCCAAAGAAAGAGAGAAAAAAAAAAGAAAAACCGCCGAACUAGAGCAGAGAGAAAGAACACCAAUAAAGACACAGCACAGCACAGCCAUGGAACAAAAUUCCAAGGACAAAGGAGUGUCUCCUCUUGAAAAAAAACGUGUGGAAAGAGUACCUCUGUGCGUCUUGUCGUGGCAUAUUCGCUGCCUGCCAGAGUCGUCGCUAUAGCGAAGGCAAAAUCCCUUUUGGUACAGCGAUGGAUUCGCCUCUACAGACAGCCUGGGACCGAACAGAUGCUGAUCGCGAUCCAUUA
rnacentral:lncRNA from 1 species